rnacentral:rRNA from 1 species
UUUUCGUCAAUGGGCGCAAGCCUGAACGAGCAAUGCCGCGUGAACGAGGAAGGUCUUCGGAUCGUAAAGUUCUGUUGAAGGGGAAAAAGAGCGGAGAGAGGAAAUGGUCUCUGAUUGAUAUUACCCUUCGAGGAAGUCACGGCUAACUACGUGCCAGCAGCCGCGGUAAUACGUAGGUGGCGAGCGUUAUCCGGAAUGAUUGGGCGUAAAGGGUGCGUAGGUGGCCUGCUAAGUCUGGAGUGAAAGGUACCGGCUCAACCGGUACAGGCUCUGGAAACUGGCGGGCUAGAGAGCAGGAGAGGGCGGUGGAACUCCAUGUGUAGCGGUAAAAUGCGUAGAUAUAUGGAAGAACACCAGUGGCGAAGGCGGCCGCCUGGCCUGUUGACUGACGCUGAGGCACGAAAGCGUGGGGAGCAAAUAGGAU